rnacentral:rRNA from 1 species
GAUGAACGCUGGCGGCGUGCCUAAUACAUGCAAGUCGAGCGAACAGACGAGGAGCUUGCUCCUCUGACGUUAGCGGCGGACGGGUGAGUAACACGUGGAUAACCUACCUAUAAGACUGGGAUAACUUCGGGAAACCGGAGCUAAUACCGGAUAAUAUAUUGAGCCGCAUGGUUCAAUAGUGAAAGACGGUUUUGCUGUCACUUAUAGAUGGAUCCGCGCCGCAUUAGCUAGUUGGUAAGGUAACGGCUUACCAAGGCAACGAUGCGUAGCCGACCUGAGAGGGUGAUCGGCCACACUGGAACUGAGACACGGUCCAGACUCCUACGGGAGGCAGCAGUAGGGAAUCUUCCGCAAUGGGCGAAAGCCUGACGGAGCAACGCCGCGUGAGUGAUGAAGGUCUUCGGAUCGUAAAACUCUGUUAUUAGGGAAGAACAAAUGUGUAAGUAACUAUGCACGUCUUGACGGUACCUAUCAGAAAGCCACGGCUAACUACGUG